AUUGAACGCUGGCGGCAUGCCUUACACAUGCAAGCCGAACGGUAACGCGGGGCAACCUGGCGACGAGUGGCGAACGGGUGAGUAAUGCAUCGGAACGUGCCCAGUAGUGGGGGAUAACUGCUCGAAAGAGCAGCUAAUACCGCAUACGACCUGAGGGUGAAAGCGGGGGAUCGCAAGACCUCGCGCCAUUGGAGCGGCCGAUGUCCGAUUAGGUAGGUGGUGGGGUAAAGGCCCACCAAGCCAACGAUCUGUAGCUGGUCUGAGAGGACGACCGGCCACACUGGGACUGAGACACGGCCCAGACUCCUACGGGAGGCAGCAGUGGGGAAUUUUGGACAAUGGACGCAAGUCUGAUCCAGCCAUGCCGCGUGCGGGAAGAAGGCCUUCGGGUUGUAAACCGCUUUUGUCAGGGAAGAAACGCUCUGGGUUAAUACCUCGGGGUAAUGACGGUACCUGAAGAAUAAGCACCGGCUAACUACGUGCCAGCCGCCGCCGUAAGAC
rnacentral:rRNA from 1 species